rnacentral:rRNA from 1 species
AGGAUGAACGCUGGCGGCGUGCCUAAGACAUGCAAGUCGAGUGGGUUUAGACCCACGGCGAACGGGUGAGUAAUACCUAGGAACGUUCUUUUAGUUGAGGAUAUCCCAUCGAAAGAUGAUGCAAUACUCAAUGUGAUAGCAAUAUCAAAGUCGCAAGACGCUAAAAGUGCGGCCUGGGCACCAUCAGCUAGUUGGUAAGGUAAUGGCUUACCAAGGCUAUGACGGUUAGGGGCCCCGAGAGGGGAAACCCCCACACUGGAACUGCGACACGGUCCAGACUCCUACGGGAGGCAGCAGUUUGGAAUUUUGGACAAUGGGCGAAAGCCUGAUCCAGCGACGCCGCGUGGACGAUGAAGGCCUUCGGGUCGUAAAGUCCUUUUGCUCGGGAACAAUAAUUUGAGCGUACCGAGAGAAUAAGAGGUUGCUAACUCUGUGCCAGCAGCCGC